rnacentral:rRNA from 1 species
CCUACGGGAGGCAGCAGUGAGGAAUAUUCGUCAAUGGGCGCGAGCCUGAACCAGCCACGUAGCGUGAAGGAUGACUGCCCUACGGGUUGUAAACUUCUUUUAUAGAGGAAUACAGUGAUGCACGUGUGCCUUUUUGUAUGUACUUUAUGAAUAAGGAUCGGCUAACUCCGUGCCAGCCGCCGCGGUAAUACGGAGGAUCCGAGCGUUAUCCGGAUUUGUUGGGUUUAAAGGGAGCGUAGAUGGGUUGUUAAGUCAGUUGUGAAAGUUUGCGGCUCAACCGUAAAAUUGCAAUUGAUACUGGAAGUCUUGAGUACAGGUGAGGUAGGCGGAAUUCGUGGUGUAGCGGUGAAAUGCUUAGAGAUCACGAAGAACACCGAUUGCGAAGGCAGCUUACUAAACUGCCACUGACAUUGAUGCUCGAAAGUGUGGGUAUCAAACAGGAGUAGAUACCCGUGUAGUC